AACGCAUCUUGCGCUCCUUGGUAUUCCGAGGAGCAUGCCUGUUUGAGUGUCAUUUGACUUAUCAACCGCUUCAUGGUGAACAUGGACGUGGCUUUGGAUGUGGGGGUCUUUGCAGGCUUUUUGAAUUCUCAAAGGUCGGCUCCCCUGAAACGCAUUAGUGGCAUCUGAGCUGCUACUAUAGGUGUGAUAAAUUAUCUAUGCCUUUGGUAUGCUGCAUGAACAGAUUGCGCUGCUUACAACGACGAAAAUAACUUGACAAACUUGACCUCAAAUCAGGUAGGACUACCCGCUGAACUUAA
rnacentral:misc_RNA from 3 species